rnacentral:tRNA from 1 species
UCUUCAAUAGCUCAGUGGUAGAGCGGAGGGCUGUUAACCUUCAGGUCGUUGGUUCGAAACCAACUUGGGGAG